rnacentral:tRNA from 1 species
GCAUCGGUGGUUUAGUGGUAAAAUUAGCCGUUGCCACGUGAUCAAUCAAUUCGAUUGGUUUACCGCAACUUCGGCUAGCCCCGGGUUCGAUUCCCGGCCGAUGCA